rnacentral:tRNA from 1 species
ACGUUGAUGGUGAAAUGGUUAUCAUCCUUGCCUUCCAAGCAAGGGGCGGGGGUUCGAUUCCCCCUCAACGUA